GAGAGGACCGGGAUGGACGUACCUCUGGUGUACCAGUUGUCCUGCCAAGGGCAUGGCUGGGUAGCUAUGUACGGAAUGGAUAAGCGCUGAAAGCAUCUAAGCGCGAAGCCAACUUCAAGAUAAGAUUGCCCACCGCAAGGGUAAGACCCCAGAAAGACUAUCUGGUUGAUAGGUCGAAGGUGUAAGUGCAGCAAUGUAUUUAGCUUAUCGAUACUAAUAGGUCGAGGACUUGACCAAU
rnacentral:rRNA from 1 species